rfam:Solanum lycopersicum cultivar Heinz 1706 chromosome 2, whole genome shotgun sequence.
CUGUAAGAGGCAUGAUGUACUAUUACAAGGCUCUCAAGAUGCUUUCGUUCCUUGAUUCUGCUUCAGAGGUUGAUAUAAGG